ACAAGUCACUUCAUCUGAAGGGCUAGGUGUUGGGCUGGACUUUCCUCCCCCAUGCUCUCCUCCAGUAAGAGCCACAAACCAGCUGCCUUUACACAAACCCUUCCCCUUGAGGGCUGUAUUAUCACGGCAAGAGUUUAGAGAAGAGGGACGUUCCUGGCAUAUUCAUUUUUAACCCCGAUACAUUCCAGUCUUGUUCUGGGCCACUUAACUGCAGAUGUGUGUCUGACAGGACACACAGAUGACUGAACUGAACUAAUGACAGCUGAGUUACAGGGCUGGGCAUUCGGAGACAGAGAACGUGAGAGCGUGGCAAGCACGGGCGAGCACCAGCUGGGCACGUGGGCGAGAGCUGCCAGGCAUCAUAAGGAGAGCAGCGUGAACGCUCGCGGGGAUGCCAGAGGAAAUGCAGAUGAAGAGAAAAGAAGAAUUAUCUAUCCAAGAAGGAACUUUGAAACAGAACCAGGAUCUCAUCAUUUCUGGACACCUACUGAGAGGAGAUCUUGUGAGCACAGAAAAUUCCUCACUGUAGGAUCUCUUUUGCCUCCUACACCAUGCUAAGGCAGCACCCUACUUUUAUACCUGAAACACCUCACAUGAUCUAUAUACCAAUCUAAGGAAGCUACCGUUAGACGUAGGUACAUACUUUAUGCUUUCAAAUCUAAAUAUUCCCCAAGUCUCCUGCAUUUUGGAUUCCCUGACUUACUCUUCCGGUGGUAAAGAUCCUGCCAACAUGGUGAUAUGUCUUUCUGCUCCAACCCAGAUACAUAACUUGUUCCUUUCGGCCAUAUCAAAGACAUACACGCUACAUUAAUGCUAAAUUAUAUUCACAGUUCAAACUGUGAAAAAGAUUUACUAUUCAAAGAAGUAAAGCCAGGGACCAUAUCCAAGAUACAAAUCUAGAUGCUAGUUCAAAACUGAAACAUGCAAGUAUUUUGGGUUGUCAACACCUUAGGGUUUGGUUUAUACUUAUCUUUAACCAAAAUACUGCCAUUUUCCCCUGCAGCUUUAAAAAUGGAAGAAAGGAAGAGAAGAUACCGGUUAUCUUCCUAAUUGCUUCUUUGUAGCAGUCAUCUGCACAGGAAAUAAUACUGGGAUAUGCCAUGGGCUUUAAGAGAAUUAGAUGCUCUCUGUGCACAGAAAGUCACUGGCUCUGGAUGGCUAACUCCAUCGGGCUAUCUGGAAAAUCCCAGCUAAGUAGCAACUCUCAGCAGUGCUGGGAAAAGGAAAUGAGAAAGAAUACGAUGGUCUAAUGGUACCACUAAGAAAUAGCAACUGCCCUCAGUGUUGGCAGGAACUAGAGGGAGCACCAUUUCAGAAGCAUCGAGGGAACAAACAGGCAGGGUAUCUGGUGAUUCUUGCUGUCAGCAUGUGGCAUCAGAGGCCAUGAAUACACAACAUCUGGCAGACACAGAGAAGGGAAGGCCAUGCCUGGGUAGUUUUCGAGCCUGGGCUGUGUUUGGGUACAUGGAUGAGCGACCACCACCACACAGCAAGGGCUGCGGUGUUUUCCAGCCAUGAAGCAGAAGGUGCCAUGCUGCAGAGCUCUCCUGCUGAAGAGCCCUAGACAGAAGAACUCCCUGCAGGGUGGAGAGUUCAUGAGAGCUGUCAAUACUUCACUGUGCCAAGUGCAAAAAGAAACCUGACCACCUCUGCUUAUGUGCAGUAAAAUCAGAUUGGUUUCCAAGAUACUGACUUUCUUCUGAUUCUGGACAUCAUCGGUAUGACCUCCCUCACUGAUUCACACUUCAUAUGCCCACUACAUUCCAGCGAUUGCUGUUAAAGCCUAUUUAAAAGAAUAAAUAUUGAGCAUUGCAACUUCAUUAUUCUGUGAUCUCCACGUCAAAAAAAUUAUCAGAGCAGAGAUUCUCAUCAUUGUCUGCCUCAGGAACUUCAUUCCCUCUCCUUUAAAAAUCCUGAUUAUAGACAGCAGACUGUUUGCAAAAGUGAGAUGGUGGAAUAGAUUCCCUGUGUGAUUCCCUCAUUUUUGCAAGGCAAAGAAUGCUUUUCUCAAAUGCCAGGAGGUUCAUCAGAGAAGACUCCAUCUGCCUCGUCCAUCAUUCCCAGCAGAAACAAUCCUGCCAUUGGUAAAAGGGAUAUUUCUGAUGAUGAUGCACAAGGUGAAAGAAAAUCUCAUUCACCUUUUGUUCCACUGGGUCUGUGAGGGUAAGAGAAAUACGCAAGUGUUUACCUCUGUAAGGUAAGGAAAUGGGACCCAAAUAGAAAGAGAUACAUGCUGCUGUGUGAGUGUGUACUCACACAGUAAAACAGAGAUUAAUGGAUAAAAAUCAGACCAGCCACUACUAGGAUUUCCUAUAAAACAGAAAUCCUUUAAGAUCUCCUAAGCAGAGACAGAACUCCCACCUCCCAUGCAACCUAGGUUUAUCACUGACUUGUUGC